CAGUCGCCGCGGGAAUACAGAGGAUGCAAGCGUUAUCCGGAAUGAUUGGGCGUAAAGCGUCUGUAGGUGGCUUUUCAAGUCCGCCGUCAAAUCCCAGGGCUCAACCCUGGACAGGCGGUGGAAACUACCAAGCUGGAGUACGGUAGGGGCAGAGGGAAUUUCCAGUGGAGCGGUGAAAUGCGUUGAGAUCGAAAAGAACACCAACAGCGAAAGCACUCUGCUGGGACGACACUGACACUAAGAGACGAAAGCUAGGGGAGCAAAUGGGAUUAGAUACCCCCGUAGUCCCUGUCUCUUAUAC
rnacentral:rRNA from 1 species